rnacentral:rRNA from 1 species
UACGUAGGGUGCAAGCGUUGUCCGGAAUUAUUGGGCGUAAAGAGCUCGUAGGCGGUCUGUCGCGUCGGCUGUGAAAACCCGGAGCUCAACUCCGGGCCUGCAGUCGAUACGGGCAGACUGGAGUUCGGCAGGGGAGACUGGAAUUCCUGGUGUAGCGGUGAAAUGCGCAGAUAUCAGGAGGAACACCGGUGGCGAAGGCGGCAUUCUGGACUACAACUGACACUGAGGAACGAAAGCCAGGGGAGCAAAACGGG